UGGGGAAUCUUGCGCAAUGGGGGAAACCCUGACGCAGCAACGCCGUGUGUGCGAUGAAGGCCCUCGGGUCGUAAAGCGCUGUCAACAGGGAAGAUGGUUUCGUUGGUUAAUAUCCAUCGGAGCUGACGGUACCUGUGGAGGAAGCACCGGCUAACUCUGUGCCAGCAGCCGCGGUAAGACAGAGGGUGCAAGCGUUGUUCGGAAUUAUUGGGCGUAAAGCGCGCGUAGGCGGCGAGUUAAGUCGGAUGUGAAAGCCCGGGGCUCAACCUCGGAAGUGCAUCCGAAACUGGCUUGCUUGAAUCUUGGAGGGGGCAGUGGAAUUCCCGGUGUAGAGGUGAAAGUCGUAGAUAUCGGGAGGAACACCAGUGGCGAAGGCGACUGCCUGGACAAUGAUUGACGCUGAGGUGCGAAAGCGUGGGUAGCAAACAGGAUUAGAUACCCCCGUAGUCC
rnacentral:rRNA from 1 species